CCUACGGGUGGCAGCAGUGAGGAAUAUUGGUCAAUGGCCGGAAGGCUGAACCAGCCAUGCCGCGUGAAGGGCAGGGCCCUAUGGGCGUUAAACUUCUUUUGUGCGGGAGCAAUAAUGGUCACGUGUGGCCAGACGAGAGUACCGUACGAAUAAGCAUCGGCUAACUCCGUGCCAGCAGCCGCGGUAAUACGGGGGAUGCAAGCGUUAUCCGGAUUUAUUGGGUUUAAAGGGUGCGUAGGCUGUGAGGUAAGUCAGCGGUGAAAUGCCCCCGCUCAACGGGGUGAAGUGCCAUUGAUACUGCCUGGCUGGAAUGCGGAUGCCGUGGGAGGAAUGUGUGGUGUAGCGGUGAAAUGCAUAGAUAUCACACAGAACACCGAUUGCGAAGGCAUCUCACGAAUCCGCGAUUGACGCUGAUGCACGAAAGCGUGGGUAUCAAACAGGAUUAGAUACCCGGGUAGUC
rnacentral:rRNA from 1 species